GAUGAACGCUAGCGGCAGGCUUAAUACAUGCAAGUCGAGGGACAGCACAGGUAGCAAUACUGGGUGGUAACCGGCAAACGGGUGCGGAACACGUACACAACCUUCCUUUAAGUGGGGGAUAGCCCAGAGAAAUUUGGAUUAAUACCCCGUAAUAUAGUUGAAUGGCAUCAUUUGAUUAUUAUAGCUACGGCGCUUAAUGAUGGGUGUGCGGCUGAUUAGAUAGUUGGCGGUGUAACGGCCCACCAAGUCUACGAUCAGUAGCUGAUGGGAGAGCAUGAUCGGCCACACGGGCACUGAGACACGGGCCCGACACCUACGGAAGGCAGCAGGAAGGAAUAUUGGUCAAUGGACGCAAGUCUGAACCAGCCAGGCCGCGUGAAGGAUUAAGGUCCUCUGGAUUGUAAACUUCUUUUAUUUGGGACGAAAAAGGGCCUUUCUAGGUCAACUGACGGUACCAGAUGAAUAAGCACCGGCUAACUCCGUGCCAGCCGCCGCCGUAAGAC
rnacentral:rRNA from 1 species